CUUCGGAUUGUAAACUUCUUUUGAUGGGGAUGAAUGCCCUGGUGAAUAGCCAGGGGUGACAGUACCCGUUGAAUAAGCCACGGCUAACUACGUGC
rnacentral:rRNA from 1 species